ACCUGUACCGGGGCGAGAGCAGGGCGUCCCGGUGGCAGAAAGACAUACACCGUGCCACGGAAUGCGUGCGCACAUAUGGGCGUU
rfam:Streptomyces sp. NBRC 110027 DNA, contig: TPA059808.